rnacentral:rRNA from 1 species
GACGGAGGAUGCAAGCGUUAUCCGGAAUUACUGGGCGUAAAGCGCACGUAGGUGGCGACGUAAGUCGGGUGUGAAAGCCCCGGGCUCAACCUGGGAAUUGCAUUCGAGACUGCAUUGCUGGAGUACGGAAGAGGAAGGCGGAAUUCCCGGUGUAGCGGUGAAAUGCGUAGAUAUCGGGAGGAACAUCAGUGGCGAGGGCGGCCUUCUGGUCCAGUACUGACACUCAAGUGCGAAAGCGUGGGGAGCAAACAGG